rnacentral:rRNA from 1 species
AGAUUAGAGUUUGAUCCUGGCUCAGGACGAACGCUGGCGGCGCGCCUAAUACAUGCAAGUCGAGCGGACAGAAGGGAGCUUGCUCCCGGAUGUUAGCGGCGGACGGGUGAGUAACACGUGGGUAACCUGCCUGUAAGACUGGGAUAACUCCGGGAAACCGGAGCUAAUACCGGAUAGUUCCUUGAACCGCAUGGUUCAAGGAUGAAAGACGGUUUCGGCUGUCACUUACAGAUGGACCCGCGGCGCAUUAGCUAGUUGGUGGGGUAAUGGCUCACCAAGGCGACGAUGCGUAGCCGACCUGAGAGGGUGAUCGGCCACACUGGGACUGAGACACGGCCCAGACUCCUACGGGAGGCAGCAGUAGGGAAUCUUCCGCAAUGGACGAAAGUCUGACGGAGCAACGCCGCGUGAGUGAUGAAGGUUUUCGGAUCGUAAAGCUCUGUUGUUAGGGAAGAACAAGUGCGAGAGUAACUGCUCGCACCUUGACGGUACCUAACCAGAAAGCCACGGCUAACUACGUGCCAGCAGCCGCGGUAAUACGUAGGUGGCAAGCGUUGUCCGGAAUUAUUGGGCGUAAAGGGCUCGCAGCGGUUUCUUAAGUCUGAUGUGAAAGCCCCCGGCUCAACCGGGGAGGGUCAUUGGAAACUGGGAAACUUGAGUGCAGAAGAGGAGAGUGG